rnacentral:rRNA from 1 species
GAUGAACGCUAGCGGCAGGCUUAACACAUGCAAGUCGAGGGGUAUAGGGAGCUUGCUUCCUAGAGACCGGCGCACGGGUGCGUAACGCGUAUGCAAUCUACCUUUUGCAGAGGGAUAGCCCAGAGAAAUUUGGAUUAAUACCUCAUAGUAUGUGAGAAUGGCAUCAUUUUCACAUUAAAGUCACAACGGCAAAAGAUGAGCAUGCGUCCCAUUAGCUUGUUGGUAAGGUAACGGCUUACCAAGGCAACGAUGGGUAGGGGUCCUGAGAGGGAGAUCCCCCACACUGGUACUGAGACACGGACCAGACUCCUACGGGAGGCAGCAGUGAGGAAUAUUGGACAAUGGGCGGCAAGCCUGAUCCAGCCAUGCCGCGUGCAGGAUGACGGUCCUAUGGAUUGUAAACUGCUUUUGUACAGGAAGAAACACUGGUUCGUGAACCAGCUUGACGGUACUGUAAGAAUAAGGAUCGGCUAACUCCGUG